rnacentral:ncRNA from 2 species
AGGAGCCGUGUGCGGUGAAAGUCGCACGCACGGUUCUGAAACAGAGGUAAGCAGGGCGACUUGCUUAUCGACUGUAAC